CACGUAGUUAGCCGUGGCUUUCUCAUAAGGUACCGUCAAUUGAUAGUCAUUUCCUCCUAUCACCUUUCUUCCCUUAUAACAGAAUUUUACAACCCGAAGGCCUUCUUCAUUCACGCGGCGUUGCUCGGUCAGGCUUUCGCCCAUUGCCGAAGAUUCCCUACUGCUGCCUCCCGUAGGAGUCUGGGCCGCGUCUCAGUCCCAGUGUGGCCGUUCACCCUCUCAGGUCGGCUACGCAUCGUCGCCUUGGUAGGCCUUUACCCCACCAACUAGCUAAUGCGCCGCAGGCUCAUCCAUCAGUGAUGCCAGGAGCAUCUUUAAACUUUCGUCCUAUCCGGUAUUAGCGAUCGUUUCCAAUCGUUGUCCCCGUCUGAUGGGCAGAUCACCUACGUGUUACUCACCCGUUCGCCGCUUCCCACCGAAGUGGUUCGCUCGACUUGCAUGUAUUAGGCACGCCGCCAGCGUUCAUCCUGAGCCAGGAUCAAACUCU
rnacentral:rRNA from 1 species